UCGGUGUUUUAUGCAAUGAUGAGCACAAAUGAGCGCCACAUAAUUAAGACUUCAUUCAGAGGCACCACUUAGAGAGGACAUGUGUACAUGACAACAGCACUGUCUUACAGUUCUCUUGCGAUGAAGAAUACAGCUUACUGAACAGUCUCUCAAGAUUACGUCAAGUUACUUCUGUCAAGCAACCGCAGCAAAACAACAUACUGCAUGCACAAUGCAUGUUACUUCAACUACAAAGUUAUACUUGGAUCACUUUAAUCUGCACUUUUAUUUCAUACGGAUAUUACAUGAUACAGAUAUUUUAUUUUAUACGGAUUCCAUGAACGACUUCAUGAUGCAUACCUGAGCUUUAAGAAGUUCUUGGACAACACUCGAGUAUGUCUCCCGCCAUAUUUCGCAUUGUUGUUUAGUUCUCGCCAUUAACUUGGAUGACGUGACACAUUGUGCACGCUGUCCUUUAGCCUGCUUCAUUGUUCCGCUUCGUAGGCACGCUGUUGGUUAGUUCAUCUCGUUGUCACACGGUUGGUGCAUAUAUUUAACGCGGCUCUUUUUUUUUCCCGCUCGUUCUUUUUAUGUAUGUCUCUUGCCUUCGGUCAAUAAACGUCUUCUCUUGCUCGGA